CGGCGAACGGGUGAGUAACACGUGAGCAACCUGCCCUACGCUUUGGGAUAACCCUCGGAAACGGGGGCUAAUACCGGAUAUUCAGUUUCUGCCGCAUGGUGGGGGUUGGAAAGUUUUUCGGCGUGGGAUGGGCUCGCGGCCUAUCAGCUUGUUGGCGGGGUGAUGGCCUACCAAGGCGACGACGGGUAGCCGGCCUGAGAGGAUGGCCAGCCACAUUGGGACUGAGAGACGGCCCAG
rnacentral:rRNA from 1 species